GAUGCCUUCACCACCUCAGCAACCCAUUGUGACUUGGAGUCUCAUGGGAGAAAACCAGGAGAGAAGAGCUGCAGGAAAACCAGGAGAGGAUUCUGCUCCCAUGGGACUUCAGCAGAUUUCAUCCCACCAGCUUCUGGAACCAAAAGCCAAAUGGGCUAGAGAGAAGCAUCUCAGGACCAUCAUCUCACCUCAGAGUUUAUACAUGUUUCUACUCAGUAGAAGUCAUUUUGUGGACCACAAUCUGGACAGACUGCCUAGAAAUACACUUCCAACAAUGGGAUGUUUCACCAGAGGUACACCCACAAGAGAAGGAGAAGGAAGGGGAAUGCUCUAAAUACAUCUUUUCCCAGCAACAAAGAACAAAAAAAGAGAGAAUGAAGAACUAAGUAUUGAUCCCUGGAAAAUGAACAACAAUGAAAAUGAAAUACAGACAACUGCAAUCCCAAUGGUCCUAUUGGAGGAUGAAAUGCUUCAUUAACACCUCACGAGGUGAGUCAUUUGUAAUGCUGCGUACAAAGCAUCCUGGAGUCAUGAUCUUUGACUUCUACCCUGCAUCUAAUACUGCAGAUCACUCAACCACGAUGAAAUCAGCUGCAGGAAAGACACAGAGGCCCAUGAGGAUGUGAAAGAUGUGAGGCUGCUUUGUCAUUUAUUGCUCCAUAUUCCAUAUGCUUGUCUGAUUGGUGGAGGGGAAGGUCCAUUUGUUAAUGCAAUGCUUCAUGUGAAUUGCAGGCAGCUAAAAG